CCUGUGGUGGAUUCGCGGAAGCCUGAACCAGCCAAGUCGCGUGAGGGAAGACGGUCCAAGGGAUUGUAAACCUCUUUUGCAGGGGAGCAAGGCGCGGUACGUGUACCGCGAAGGAGAGUACCCUGAGAAAAAGCAUCGGCUAACUCCGUGCCAGCAGCCGCGGUAAUACGGAGGAUGCGAGCGUUAUCCGGAUUUAUUGGGUUUAAAGGGUGCGCAGGCGGACUGUUAAGUCAGCGGUAAAAUGUCGGUGCUCAACACCGGCCGGCCGUUGAAACUGGCAGCCUUGAGUGAGCGAGAAGUAUGCGGAAUGCGUGGUGUAGCGGUGAAAUGCAUAGAUAUCACGCAGAACUCCGAUUGCGAAGGCAGCAUACCGGCGCUCAACUGACGCUCAGGCACGAAAGCGUGGGUAUCGAACAGGCUUAGAUACCCUGGUAGUCCACGCAGUAAACGAUGAAUGCUCACUGUCCGGGCCGUUUAAGGCCUGGGUGGUCAAGCGAAAGCGUUAAGCAUUCCACCUGGGGAGUACGCCGGCAACGGUGAAACUCAAAGGAAUUGACGGGGGCCCGCACAAGCGGAGGAACAUGUGGUUUAAUUCGAUGAUACGCGAGGAACCUUACCCGGGCUCAAACGGAAGGGGACAGUAUGAGAAAUCAUACAUUCCUUCGGGACCGCUUCCGAGGUGCUGCAUGGUUGUCGUCAGCUCGUGCCGUGAGGUGUCGGCUUAAGUGCCAUAACGAGCGCAACCCCUAUCGACAGUUGCUAGCAGGUAAAGCUGAGGACUCUGUCGAGACUGCCGGCGCAA
rnacentral:rRNA from 1 species